GUGAGGAAUAUUGGUCAAUGGGCGCAAGCCUGAACCAGCCAUGCCGCGUGCAGGAAGACGGUCCUAUGGAUUGUAAACUGCUUUUAUUUGGGAAUAAACUCCGGUACGUGUACCGGCCUGAAGGUACCAAAUGAAUAAGCACCGGCUAACUCCGUGCCAGCAGCCGCGGUAAUACGGAGGGUGCAAGCGUUAUCCGGAAUCAUUGGGUUUAAAUGGUCCGCAGGCGGUCUUAUAAGUCAGUGGUGAAAGCCUACAGCUCAACUGUAGAACUGCCAUUGAUACUGUAGGACUUGAAUUCGAUCGAAGUGGGCGGAAUGUGACAUGUAGCGGUGAAAUGCUUAGAUAUGUCACAGAACACCGAUAGCGAAGGCAGCUCACUAGGUCUGGAUUGACGCUCAGGGACGAAAGCGUGGGGAGCAAACAGGAUUAGAAACCCUGGUAGUCC
rnacentral:rRNA from 1 species